GGAUGUAGCUUAGUGGUAAGGUGCUUGCCCAGCAUGCAAGAGGUCCUGAGUUCAAUCCCAGCACCA
rnacentral:tRNA from 1 species